rnacentral:lncRNA from 1 species
AUGGGGAACAAACAGGAAGAACUAGAGAUCUGUGUGCGGUCGCAGGGCCAUGAUCUCAUUGCCAUUACAGAGACAUGGUGGGAUAGCUCGCAUGACUGGAGUGCUGUCAUGGAUGGCUACGUGCUUUUUAAGAAAGACASGCCAGGMAAGCRAGGUGGUGGAGUUGCUCUUUAUGUGAGAGAGCAACUGGAAUGUAUUGAGCUGUGCCUAGGGGUGGAUGAAGAGCGAGUCGAGAGCUUAUGGGUAAGGAUUAAAGGGCAGGCUAGCAUGGGUGACACUGUUGUGGGUGUUUACUACAGGCCACCUGAUCAGGAAGAGGAAGUCACUGAGGCCUUCUACAGACAGCUGGAAGUAGCCUCACAAUCCCAGGCCCUGGUUCUCAUGGGAGACUUCAACCACCCCGAUAUCUGCUGGAAAGACAACWCAGCUAGGCACAAACAGUCCUGGAGGUUCCUGCAGAGCAUUGGUGCCAACUUCUUGACACAGGUGGUGGAGGAGCCAACAAGGAGAGGUGUGCUGCUGGACCUCGUACUAACAAACAAAGAAGGACUGGUGGAAGAUGUGAAGGUCGGGGGCUGCCUUGGCUGCAGUGACCAUGAGAUGGUGGAGUUCAGGAUCCUGCGAAGAGGCAGCAGGGCACCAAGUAGGAUCGCAACCCUGGACUUCAGGAGAGCAAACUUUGGCCUCUUCAGGGACCUACUUGGAGGAAUCCCAUGGGUUAGGGCCCUAGAAGGAAGGGGCGUUCAAGAGAGCUGGUUAAUAAUCAAACAUCACUUCCUCCAGGCUCAAGAGUGGUGCAUCCCUAUGAGUAGGAAGUCAAGCAAAGGAGGUAGGAGACAUGCAUGGAUGAGCAAGGAGCUCCUGGCAAAACUCAACCAGAAGGAAGUAUACAGAAAGUGGAAAGGGGGACAGGCCACUUGGGAGGAAUAUAGAAGUAGAGGAAUAAGGAAUAAGCAUGUCAGAGUAUGCAGGGAUGCAACGAGGAAGGCUAAGGCCUGUUUGGAAUUAAAUCUGGCAAGAGAUGUCAAGGACAACAAGAAAGGCUUCUUCAAAGACAUCAGUAGCAAGAGGAAGACUAGGGAAAAUGUGGGCCCUUUGCUGAAUGGGGUGGGUGCCCUGGUGACGAAGGAUGCAGAGAAGGCAGAGUUACUGAAUGCCGCCUUUGCUUCAGUCCUUACUGCUCAGGCCAGCCCUCAGGAACCCCAGACCCUAGAGACCACAGAGAAAGUCUGGAGAAAGAAAGACUUUCCCUUGGUCGAGGAGGAUUGGGUUAGAGAUCAUUUAAGAAAACUUGACACCCACAAAUCCAUGGGCCCUGAUGGGAUGCACCCACGAGUGCUGAGGGAGCUGGCGGACAUCAUUGCUAGGCCACUCUCCAUCAUCUUUGAAAGGUCAUGGAGGACAGGAGAGGUGCCUGAGGACUGGAAGAAAGCCAGUGUCACCCCAGUCUUCAAAAAGGGCAAGAAGGAGGACCCAGGGAACUACAGGCCAGUCAGCCUCACCUCCAUCCCUGGAAAGGUGAUGGAGCAGCUCAUCCUGGAGGCCAUCUCCAAGCAUGUGGAGGACAAGAAGGUGAUCAGGAGUAGUCAGCAUGGCUUCAGCAAGGGGAAAUCAUGCUUAACCAAUCUGAUAGGCUCCUAUGAUGGAAUGUCCAGUUCUGGGCUCCCCAGUACAAGAGGGAUGUGGCACUACUGGAGCAAGUCCAGCAAAGGGCUACAAAGAUGA